UAGUUUUUAUGGUCUCUAGUUUUUAAUUUAAACAACUAAGAUGUAGCCUAGUUCUAAAUCCUUUAAGAUUUUGUAGACUUCUUAAAUCUUUGGAUAUUUUUUUUUUCCUUUAAACUAAGCAAAGAGAGCAUUUGAUGUUAAUAUUCACAAUAUACCAUAAUCUUUAUUUAUUAAAAUUCACCCCUUUGUAACAAACAAUUUAUAUAAAUACUUCUUCUUUCUAUGUUUGGAGCUUAAAUCAUAUAUUUU
rnacentral:lncRNA from 1 species